rnacentral:lncRNA from 1 species
CUGAGAGUGUAGCUCUCCCUGUCCUCUUUUCAGACAGCUAAAGAGCUGAAUGGGUAAUAAAACCUUAUAGCCUGCCAACCCCUUAAGCUUAAGUUCUAAAUGAAUGAUCAAAUGGAGCUGAGUAAAUAGAAGAAGACAAGGAGAAUUCAAACAAAUUCUUGUAGCACACUAUAUGGCUUAUCUGCAGAUUGUAAAUGACAUUCUCUCUGGGAUGACAAAUUCCUAGAAGACAUCCUUUCCUUAUGAACUCAUCCAGAAAUCAGAAUACAAGAGAACCUGACUGAUUCAGUCCACAGUGGACUCUCUCCUGUGGCACAGCACAGUAUGGGGAAGGAUGAAAAAUAGACCUUGAGAAGCAAACAGUAUGGUGACCGUUAACAGAAUUAAUAUGCAAAACUAAUGAUAUUUUCUUCUCUUUGAAAAGCUAAAAGCAGAACAAACUUGAGAAUGUGCAGGACCUAUAUGAAGAAAGCUAUAUUUUACUGAGCCAGAAGAAUCCACAGUGGGUAGAGGAAAUGUCUUCCUCGCCUACACAAGAAUGGGCAAAGAAGGACCUGGUGGGGCUCUCCUGUUACCUGGAGGGAAGAAAAAGCCAUUUGGGACAUUAUACCCAGCAACAACUCUGAGAAGGGCCUGUAUCUUCACCCUUGAUUGCUUGAUUGCUAUUGUGUUUUAAGGGUAAUGCUUAGGUGUUUUAGAACCCCAAGCCAGAAAGAUGAACUAAGGGCUAUCUAAAUUAUAGCAGAAUGUCAUUGGGACAUACAGUCCUUAUUGUCAUUCUCUUACAGCAUGUGUGCCAUGAAUUUAAAAGGAG